GGAUCCUUAACCCUCUGAGCAAGGCCAGGGGUUGAACCUGCAAUCUCACGGUUCCUAGUCGGAUUUGUUUCCGCUGUGCCACGACGGGAAUUCCGGUGUUACUCUUUAUUGUACACAAUAAAUACCCGGGAGAGGAAUUGCAUCCAGUAGUUCUGUUUUUAGUGUUUGGAGGAGCCUCGCUACUGGUUUCUGUAGCGGUUGUACGGAUUUACACUCCCAUCAGCAGUGAAGGGAGAAGCCAGUGGAGGCAUGACCAGCCUGGAGCCAAGUGAGGCUGAUGGCGCAGCCGAGUGCAUCUGCUUAGACCCUCCACUCACUGGCUUCUUGGUGACCUGACUCUGCACAUCCUGUGGCUUGCAUCUUCUUGCUGGUUGUUCAUCUGCAGGAAGAGUUUCUUGAUCCCUUUGCCAAGAAGACAGAAUGGGCUCCCAGGAUGCAGUGGAAACUUUCCCUUCUCAUAGGAAGAAGAUGGGAAGGUUUCCCUCCCACAGGGUGACAGGCGAGGCGCAUCGUGUCUCAGGCCGACUCCUCGGGAAAGUGACUCAGUCAGACACUUUGGGUGAGCCAUUGUUUUCCCGUCUCUUAGCCUUGGGCUCUCUGAGGUGUUGUUUGGGACUGUUUAGGUGGCUUUAAUCUCUCAGGGCCCAGCUGUGAGGACCAGAGUGAGGUAUUUGUCUGUGUUCCCAGCUGCGUCCCCCACAUCUAUCCAAGGCUUGACUGCCCCCAGGAAGGGGGCGGAGUGCCUUCCUCUGUGGUGUGUUCCACCCUUAACCUAUCUUCUGUACCCCCCUGAAUAUAGCCGUUUUAAAAAGUGGCACUUUUUCUAAAGACGAAAGCAAGUACACUUUUAAAGCAGAAAACUCGGAAAAGGAGGAAAACCACGCCGCUGUGAGUGCCGUCGUGCAUAAGAUCACAACACAGGUGAUGUUUCCUGGCUUGCUUGUUUGCUUAAAAGGCAGUGGAGUUCUUCUACACUAACAAAUAUUCUUCUGCCGUAUGUUUUUGACAGGCUUCAUGGCGUGAUGUGGAUAUUCUGUGUUUAGAAAGUCAUGUAUUCCAGCCUUUUGGGAUGGGCCACGAUGGCGGAUGAUGGAAGAAGGGGGAGAGUAUCAGAGACACGCAAGUGCUUCCACUCAUUCAGAUCAUACAAAGUGAGCCUAAAUGGAUGGCGUGUGUUGUCUAUUCCAAGGAACCCACCUGUGCUCAGAAGAUGGGAAGAAGUAUAAGCAGAGACUCUCGGGACACAGGUCCACAGCAUGAUAAACUCAGCCCACGUUCAGAUCUUUAGAAACCCGAGAAGGGUCUAUCCUGCCUCAUUUGGCGGGUAAGGAAAGUGGGUCCCCCAGCAUUAAGUGACUUGCUGAAGUCACCCUCUGACAUGAACUCAACAUGUAGUUAUGACAGUUUUGCCUCCUUUCUGAGAUGUAGGUAGACCCUGUGAUGCGCUUAUCGGAAUCUCUCUUCGGAACUGAAGCUCUUACUAUCCCAGCUACUAGGAGGAUUGGCCGUGGACCAGCUCCUAGCUGAGUCUCUCUCUCCGGGGGCUUGCUCUUGGCUGCAGAAAGCCUCCUUCCCCAAGGGCAGCUCCCAUCUGAUGAUGGGGGUGUCUGGUUGGUGCAGAUGUGUAGUGGCCUGGCCCCUUCAGUCCCAACUGAGACAACUCUGAAGGGCCAGUGGGACCAGCUGAAGCCUAUGCAGUUCCUGAGCUGGGGCCCAGUGUCUCCUUCUGCCGGUGCUGCUUCCUUCCCUUCUCUCCAGUGCUGCUCCGGAGGGUGCUUUGUAAUAAGAAAUACCCUGCAUGCGGGCUCCGAUUCACAGUGUGCUUCUCAGGGAACCGAACUGUGACAUGAAACACACCUUUGGGGGGUAUUUUGAGUCAUUGAGUAUUUGUUAAAAAAUGUGUAUUAUGAAGUUUUAA